rnacentral:rRNA from 1 species
ACUCCUACGGGAGGCAGCAGUGGGGAAUAUUGCACAAUGGGGGAAACCCUGAUGCAGCAACGCCGCGUGAGCGAAGAAGGCCUUCGGGUCGUAAAGCUCUGUCCUAUGGGAAGAAGCAGUGACGGUACCAUAGGAGGAAGCCCCGGCUAACUACGUGCCAGCAGCCGCGGUAAUACGUAGGGGGCAAGCGUUAUCCGGAAUCACUGGGCGUAAAGGGUGCGUAGGCGGCUAAGUAAGUCAGGGGUGAAAGGCAUUGGCUCAACCAAUGUAAGCCUUUGAAACUGCUUAGCUUGAGUGCAGGAGAGGUAAGUGGAAUUCCUAGUGUAGCGGUGAAAUGCGUAGAUAUUAGGAGGAACACCAGUGGCGAAGGCGACUUACUGGACUGUAACUGACGCUGAGGCACGAAAGCGUGGGGAGCGAACAGGAUUAGAAACCCCAGUAGUCC